rnacentral:lncRNA from 1 species
CGACCCAAAUCUUCAGAGAGCUUAAGUAUCCUUCCUUUGGAGUAGUUGGAAGCAUCAAUCAUAAUGAAAUCAUCAAAGUGGUUGGAAAGGUCGUGAUCAGCCUGAUCCGGGCAUGCGGUACGUCCCAAACGGGCCAGGAAAGACAGGCUAAGUCCGGAAUCUGAUUCUUCUCGAUGAUCAUGGGUUCUGGCUUGACUGUUGGCUCUAGAAUGAAGAAUGGGUCGGGGAAGAACGCCUGUGGGUUGGCUGAUU